rnacentral:rRNA from 1 species
GACGGAAGGUGCAAGCGUUGCUCGGAAUCACUGGGCGUAAAGGGUGCGUAGGCGGCCGUGCAAGUCUGGCGUGAAAGCCCCGGGCUCAGCCCGGGAAGUGCGCUCGAAACUGCGCGGCUCGAGUGCCGGAGGGGAGAGUGGAAUUCCUGGUGUAGCGGUGAGAUGCGUAGAUAUCAGGAGGAAUACCGGUGGCGAAAGCGACUCUCUGGACGGCAACUGACGCUGAGGCACGAAAGCGUGGGGAGCAAACAGG